rnacentral:rRNA from 1 species
AUUGAACGCUGGCGGCAGGCUUAACACAUGCAAGUCGAGCGGUAACAGAGAGAAGCUUGCUUCUCUGCUGACGAGCGGCGGACGGGUGAGUAAUGCCUAGGAAUCUGCCUAGUAGUGGGGGAUAACUUGCCGAAAGGUAAGCUAAUACCGCAUACGUCCUACGGGAGAAAGGAGGGGACCUUCGGGCCUUUCGCUAUUAGAUGAGCCUAGGUCGGAUUAGUUAGUUGGUGAGGUAAUGGCUCACCAAGACCGCGAUCCGUAACUGGUCUGAGAGGAUGAUCAGUCACACUGGAACUGAGACACGGGCCAGACUCCUACGGGAGGCAGCAGUGGGGGAUAUUGGACAAUGGGGGGAACCCUGAUCCAGCCAUGCCGCGUGUGUGAAGAAGGUCUUAGGAUUGUAAAGCACUUUAAGUUGGGAGGAAGAGCAGUUAACUAAUAUUUGACUGUUUUGACGUUACCGACAGAAUAAGCACCGGCUAACUUCGUGCCAGCCGCCGCAGUAA